rnacentral:rRNA from 1 species
GGGUUGUGAGGUUAAGUGACUAAGCGUACACGGUGGAUGCCUAGGCAGUCAGAGGCGAUGAAGGGCGUGCUAAUCUGCGAAAAGCGUCGGUAAGGUGAUAUGAACCGUUACAACCGGCGAUACCCGAAUGGGGAAACCCAGUGUGUUUCGACACACUAUCAUGUCAUGAAUACAUAGUGGCAUGAGGCGAACCGGGGGAACUGAAACAUCUAAGUACCCCGAGGAAAAGAAAUCAACCGAGAUUCCCCCAGUAGCGGCGAGCGAACGGGGAGGAGCCCAGAACCUGAAUCGGCUUGUGUGUUAGUGGAAGCGUCUGGAAAGUCGCGCAGCAAAGGGUGAUAGCCCCGUACACUAAAAUGCACAGGUCGUGAGUUCGAUGAGUAGGGCGGGACACGUGACAUCCUGUCUGAAUAUGGGGGGACCAUCCUCCAAGGCUAAAUACUCCUGACUGACCGAUAGUGAACCAGUACCGUGAGGGAAAGGCGAAAAGAACCCCGGCGAGGGGAGUGAAAUAGAACCUGAAACCGUGUACGUACAAGCAGUGGGAGCACCUUCGUGGUGUGACUGCGUACCUUUUGUAUAAUGGGUCAGCGACUUAUAUUUUGUAGCAAGGUUAACCGUAUAGGGGAGCCGUAGGGAAACCGAGUCUUAACUGGGCGAAUAGUUGCAAGGUAUAGACCCGAAACCCGGUGAUCUAGCCAUGGGCAGGUUGAAGGUUGGGUAACACUAACUGGAGGACCGAACCGACUAAUGUUGAAAAAUUAGCGGAUGACUUGUGGCUGGGGGUGAAAGGCCAAUCAAACCGGGAGAUAGCUGGUUCUCCCCGAAAGCUAUUUAGGUAGCGCCUCGUGAACUCAUCUUCGGGGGUAGAGCACUGUUUCGGCUAGGGGGCCAUCCCGGCUUACCAAACCGAUGCAAACUCCGAAUACCGAAGAAUGUUAUCACGGGAGACACACGGCGGGUGCUAACGUCCGUCGUGAAGAGGGAAACAACCCAGACCGCCAGCUAAGGUCCCAAAGUCAUGGUUAAGUGGGAAACGAUGUGGGAAGGCACAGACAGCCAGGAUGUUGGCUUAGAAGCAGCCAUCAUUUAAAGAAAGCGUAAUAGCUCACUGGUCGAGUCGGCCUGCGCGGAAGAUGUAACGGGGCUAAACCAUGCACCGAAGCUGCGGCAGCGACGCUUAGGCGUUGUUGGGUAGGGGAGCGUUCUGUAAGCCGUUGAAGGUGGCCUGUGAGGGUUGCUGGAGGUAUCAGAAGUGCGAAUGCUGACAUAAGUAACGAUAAAGCGGGUGAAAAGCCCGCUCGCCGGAAGACCAAGGGUUCCUGUCCAACGUUAAUCGGGGCAGGGUGAGUCGACCCCUAAGGCGAGGCUGAAAAGCGUAGUCGAUGGGAAACAGGUUAAUAUUCCUGUACUUGGUGUUACUGCGAAGGGGGGACGGAGAAGGCUAGGCUAGCCGGGCGACGGUUGUCCCGGUUUAAGCGUGUAGGGGGUGUGACCUGGUAAAUCCGGUUGCAUACUAACCCUGAGGCGUGAUGACGAUGCACUACGGUGCAGAAGUAGUUGAUGCCCUGCUUCCAGGAAAAUCCUCUAAGCUCCAGGUAACAUUNNNNNNNNNNNNNNNNNNNNNNNNNNNNNNNNNNNNNNNNNNNNNNNNNNNNNNNNNNNNNNNNNNNNNNNNNNNNNNNNNNNNNNNNNNAAGCCAGUCGAAGAUACCAGCUGGCUGCAACUGUUUAAUAAAAACACAGCACUGUGCAAACACGAAAGUGGACGUAUACGGUGUGACGCCUGCCCGGUGCUGGAAGGUUAAUUGAUGGGGUCAGCCGCAAGGCGAAGCUCUUGAUCGAAGCCCCAGUAAACGGCGGCCGUAACUAUAACGGUCCUAAGGUAGCGAAAUUCCUUGUCGGGUAAGUUCCGACCUGCACGAAUGGCGUAAUGAUGGCCAGGCUGUCUCCACCCGAGACUCAGUGAAAUUGAACUCGCUGUGAAGAUGCAGUGUACCCGCGGCAAGACGGAAAGACCCCGUGAACCUUUACUAUAGCUUGACACUGAACAUUGAGCCUUGAUGUGUAGGAUAGGUGGGAGGCUUUGAAGCGUGGACGCCAGUCUGCGUGGAGCCAUCCUUGAAAUACCACCCUUUAAUGUUUGAUGUUCUAACUCUGCCCCAUAAUCUGGGGUGAGGACAGUGUCUGGUGGGUAGUUUGACUGGGGCGGUCUCCUCCCAAAGAGUAACGGAGGAGCACGAAGGUUAGCUAAUCACGGUCGGACAUCGUGAGGUUAGUGCAAAGGCAUAAGCUAGCUUGACUGCGAGAGUGACGGCUCGAGCAGGUACGAAAGUAGGUCUUAGUGAUCCGGUGGUUCUGAAUGGAAGGGCCAUCGCUCAACGGAUAAAAGGUACUCCGGGGAUAACAGGCUGAUACCGCCCAAGAGUUCAUAUCGACGGCGGUGUUUGGCACCUCGAUGUCGGCUCAUCACAUCCUGGGGCUGAAGUAGGUCCCAAGGGUAUGGCUGUUCGCCAUUUAAAGUGGUACGCGAGCUGGGUUUAGAACGUCGUGAGACAGUUCGGUCCCUAUCUGCCGUGGGCGUUGGAAGAUUGAGAGGGGUUGCUCCUAGUACGAGAGGACCGGAGUGAACGCACCACUGGUGUUCGGGUUGUCAUGCCAAUGGCAUUGCCCGGUAGCUAAGUGCGGAAAAGAUAAGCGCUGAAAGCAUCUAAGCGCGAAACUUGCCUCAAGAUGAGUCUUCCCUGGGCCUUUAAGGCCCCUGAAGGAACGUUUAAGACUAAGACGUUGAUAGGCUGGGUGUGUAAGUGCAGCGAUGCAUUGAGCUAACCAGUACUAAUGAUCCGUGAGGCUUAACCUUACAACACCGAAGGUGUUUUAG